CAACUCAUCAACCCUGUGAACAUACCUAAAACGUUGCUUCGGCGGGAACAGACGGCCCCGUAACACGGGCCGCCCCCGCCAGAGGACCCCCUAACUCUGUUUCUAUUAUGUUUCUUCUGAGUAAAACAAGCAAAUAAAUUAAAACUUUCAACAACGGAUCUCUUGGCUCUGGCAUCGAUGAAGAACGCAGCGAAAUGCGAUAAGUAAUGUGAAUUGCAGAAUUCAGUGAAUCAUCGAAUCUUUGAACGCACAUUGCGCCCGCCAGUAUUCUGGCGGGCAUGCCUGUUCGAGCGUCAUUACAACCCUCAGGCCCCCGGGCCCGGCGUUGGGGAUCGGCGAGGCGCCCCCUGCGGGCACACGCCGUCCCCCAAAUACAGUGGCGGUCCCGCCGCAGCUUCCAUUGCGUAGUAGCUAACACCUCGCAACUGGAGAGCGGCGCGGCCACGCCGUAAAACACCCAACUUCUGAAUGUUGACCUCGAAUCAGGUAGGAAUACCC
rnacentral:misc_RNA from 1 species